rnacentral:rRNA from 1 species
GAUGAACGCUAGCGGGAGGCCUAACACAUGCAAGCCGAGCGGUAUUGUUUCUUCGGACAUGAGAGAGCGGCGUACGGGUGCGUAACACGUGUGCAACCUGCCUUUAUCUGGGGGAUAGCCUUUCGAAAGGAAGAUUAAUACUCCAUAAUAUAUUGAACGGCAUCGUUUAAUAUUGAAAGCUCCGGCGGAUAGAGAUGGGCACGCGCAAGAUUAGCUAGUUGGUGAGGUAACGGCUCACCAAGGCGAUGAUCUUUAGGGGGCCUGAGAGGGUGAUCCCCCACACUGGUACUGAGACACGGACCAGACGCCUACGGGAGGCAGCAGUGAGGAAUAUUGGUCAAUGGGUGCAAGCCUGAACCAGCCAUCCCGCGUGAAGGACGACUGCCCUAUGGGUUGUAAACUUCUUUUGUAUAGGGAUAAACCUACCCUCGAGAGGGUAGCUGAAGGUACUAUACGAAUAAGCACCGGCUAACUCCGUG